ACCCCAGGCAGCAUUUAACCUCAAGAGACUCGAUUACUCCACCGGAUUGGGACCAGGGGCUUCAGCUGUCAUCGGACGGAAUCCAGGAGUUCUGAUUGCAGAACGAAGGCGUCAUCCAUGGCUGGAAUUACGACUGCGACGACUGCUGGGAAGAAGAAGGAGGUGGAGGUCUUUGACUCGGAGGAGGCAGUGGCGGUGUCUCUGGCCAAGUAUACGGCUG
rnacentral:misc_RNA from 1 species